GUACACGCUGUGACUAGCAUAUCAAUAAGCGGAGGAAAAGAAACUAACAAGGAUUCCCCUAGUAACGGCGAGUGAAGCGGGAAGAGCUCAAAUUUGAAAUCUUAAAGGGUUUCCCUUUACGAAUUGUAGUUUAAAGAAGUGUUUUCUGUUGAGGUUUUGGUAAAAGUUCUUUGGAAUAGGACAUCAUAGAGGGUGAGAAUCCCGUAUUUGACCUUUACUUUCAACUUUGUGAUACACUUUCAAAGAGUCGGAUUGUUUGGGAAUGCAGUCCAAAAUGGGUGGUAAAUUUCAUCUAAAGCUAAAUAUUGGCGAGAGACCGAUAGCGAACAAGUACCGUGAGGGAAAGAUGAAAAGAACUUUGAAAGGAGAGUUAAACAGUACGUGAAAUUGUCAAAAGGGAAGCGUUAGACACCAGUGUUGUUUUUCUGAAAAUCAAUUAAAGAACUGUUUAUGCUAAGUUGUUUAGACUUUAUCAGCUAUCUGUUUAGUUUUGAGCUUUUCUUUAAUGCACUUUUCAGUUAACAAGUCAACAUCAAUUUCUUUUGCUGUAAAAAAGCUUGAGGAAGGUGGCUUGAGAUUCGUCUUAAGUGUUUAUAGCCUCUUGCCUAUGCAGUCGGAGAGAUUGAGGUCUGCAGCGUAGAUCCUUCGGGGCUAAAUGCAUUUGUGCUAAGUUAUAGCAUUUUAUAGACAACUUGUUGACUAUGAUUUGUCUUGUAGCUUACUCGCUUAUGUUAUUUUACCUACGCUUAGGAUGUUGAAGAUGUAGCACAUCAU
rnacentral:rRNA from 1 species